GUUGGUUUUACAGACACUCGCUAAGAGGGAGAAGCAUCCCUGCGCGCGGCACGUUGGACGGACAGUGAACUCUGCCCCAGGAUGCUUACUGCUUCUAGGAGGAGAAGGAAGUCAGAAAUGACAGAAAAGCUGGGGGAUCUGAUAGCGGAGGUGCUGCAGUGGCCGGUACUCACACAGCUUGCAGAGGGGAUCGGCCCGGACUGCUGUCGCUCUCGUUGCUGUUGGUG